AAAAUCCACCUCUGUGUUCCUGCUGAGUGGUUAGCAGACUGGAUGAUGAAAUCUAACAGAUUUUACUCACUGAGUCUGCCUUUGGAUGGUGUCAGAAGAUGAGGGAAAAUACUACUUUAACACCAGCACAGCUACUGAAUAACACAACUGAAGCUGGUCUCAUUCACGGGCUUAAGGAAUGCAAAAUCAUGGAGAUGCAUCACAAGUAAAAAAGCUGGCCAGGUUAGGUUCAAGUGCGGACACAGCCAUUGUCAUACGUUGUAAAUACUUCUCUCCUUGUGCAGGAGAAGGUUGGAAGAGACACCGUUGGAAAUAAUUUGUAUCUUGCUUUCAAAUAGCGAUAUUUAUGUUAGAACUCAGAUGGAUUUAUUUACAAUUGCUUCCAAGAAAAUUAGAUCAAGACUCUUAUGCUGCAAAUGGUAAGGGGAACUGUUCUGUUUUAUUUAACCUGUAAAUGAUGCUGUAGAUUGCUUUGGGGUAUGACUUUUUCUUUUGUAGAGCCCUGUGGUUGCAUACAAAUAAAAUCCACUGGAUCCGA